UUCUCUUGGAGACACAGUUGGUUCCCUCUGUGUGCUCCACAGGAAACUCCCAGACCGCCUUCCUGCAGCCUGGUGUCUGCUGCCAAAAACGCUUCCAGGCAAGUGAGAAAGGAAGGUUACUUAGGCUCAUGGUUCCCGAGGUUCCAAGGUCAAGGGCCACAUCUGGUGGUGGCCCUCAUGCUGGCAGAGCCCAGGGUGGCCCUGGGCAUGGAUGUCUCCUCUGAUCUGUCUUCUCACAGAGCCACCAGGAGUCAGUCAUGGGGCCCUCCUGGGAAACACCAUCUUCCUGUGAAGCUUCCAGCGUCUCUACCGUACAUUGGGGACUGAAGCCCAGCAUGUGUUCUCACAGGGGACAGGCAGAUCCCACCCACACACGCCCCACUGCCCCCCAGCUGUGAACAGGACUUCCUGUUGUUCUGCAUCCUUAUCCCACUUGCUGUGUCAGCCUUUGCUUUUGUAUGUGAGUCUGACUGUGGUCUGAUUUUGCAUCCCUAGUGAUGAACAUGCUGGGUGUUGCUUCCUCUUCUCACGGGGCUCCAGUCCUAUCAUGCCUCUCAAUGUCAUGACCACAGUUGGCCCUCAUCACCCCCAGAGGCCCUCCCUUGUGAUACCAUCCCCUGGGCUCAGAGAUCCACACAUGACCUGGGGGACACAGGCAUGCGUCUGUCACAGGCCCCUCUUGCUCUGGCGUUUCCUCCAUGUGAUCUGAGCUUGGCCUUCUUUUGCAGGAGAAACUCCUGACGGAACGAGAGGUGGCCUCACUGUAGAGCCAGCUGGAGGAGGGCCGGGAGGCGCUGUCCCACCUGCAGGCACAGCUCGCGGAGCUGCAGGCCCAGACCUUGGCCCUGGAGCAGGCAAUGAAAAAUGCCCACGAGUGUUACAAUGACAAGAUCCAGCUGUACAAUGAGCAGAUUGAGAGCCUGCGGAGGGAGAUCGAGGAGGCUGAGCGGACGCUGGAGAGGACUUCAUACGACUGCCGGCAGCUGGCAGUGGCCCAGCAGACCCUGAGGAACGAGCUGGACCGAUAUCAGCGCAUCAUCGAGAUUGAAGCCAACAGGCUGAGCUCCGCCUUCAUCGAGACUCCGGUCAUCCUGUUCACCCCGAGCCACAGGACUCCUCUCAGCCUGGGAUCAGGUGGGAAAGAUCUCGCCAGGACCUUGCAAGACAUCACAGCAGCUAAACCAAGGCAAAAAGGCCUCCCCAAGAACGUUCCAUGGAAGAAGGAGAUCAUAGCUCAGGAUAAAGCAGAUAAAAUUCUGGAAGACCCCCCGGUAAAAGAUCCGGAAGACCCAAAGCCAGGACAGGGGGCAGCUAAAGAGGAGGCUGAAUUCAGGUGUGAAUUGGGGGGUGGAGAAGCAAGCUCCUCAGUCCAGGGAAGGGGUCUGGAAGAUGUGCCAGACGGGGGGCAGAUCAGCAAAGCCCUCGGGAAACUGUGCAAGAAGGUCAAGGAAAGAGUGNNNNNNNNNNNNNNNAAGAGUGAGAAUCCACAGAGAACCAGCACCGGAGCCCCCCGCCGACCUCUACACCAAAGGGCGUCGCGUGCUGGUCACGGGGGAGGCCAGCUAUGUGGACCCUGGGUUCUGCUCCUCCUCCAUCCCCACUGGAGGUGGGGUAGUGAUUUCCAUUGAGGAAGGCUCUGUGUAUGGUAAUGGGCGCGUGGAGCCCUGUCCUGAGCAGCCCAUGCCACCUUUGGAGAAUGGACCAGGGGGUCCCCAGCGGGGAGAGGGGGAGCACACAGGAAACCAGCAGUCUGCAGACAAGGGGGAAGAGAUAAAAGCCCAGGAACCGAAAGACCCUGGGGUGAAGGACCAGGGCCAGAAGGAAGAGGAGAGCCCCAGGAGACCCUGUCCUGUGGCCAUACCCGGUCCAGAGGAACCAUCUACACCCCAGCCUCCAGGGCCUGGGUCCGCUCAGGAUGGAGAGGAGAGUAAGAGCAGUGGCCAGCCAGAAAGGGGCCUUCCCAGGCCUAUGGCUUUCAAGAAGGUAGAAAUGGUGGAAUCCAUUGAGCAGAUUUCAAUGGAGAGCAUCGAGACAUACGAGGAGACCUCUGGUCGUGGAGACCAUGACCGGGAAGACAAAGGUGAAUAAGAAACUGGGAGAGAAGGGCACGUAGGAUGGCUGGGCUCAGUGGAGGAGGAGUCGGUGGGCCGCUGUAGGGGAAAUGCUUUGCUGUCUUAGGGCAGAUGGUAGCAGUGUAGUUCCUGUGUGGGUUUGACUAUAGAUGACUCACUGGUGUUAUCGGAGAACCUGCACUAAAAUGUUUUCUUUGCUUGCACCCUGUGCCUUGUGUCAUCCCUUGGGGCUGUGGGAAAGCAGGGGUUGCCACCACGCUCAGGACAAGGGUGCUUGGUCGCGUGGCCACCAGCCUGUCCUCACACACUUCUUC
rnacentral:lncRNA from 1 species